UGCCUUGAGACAUGUAAGUUGUGAAUGUACCAACAUCAGUAAUCUACCUGAAGGAAGGAAUCCACCUCCACAUAUUUGUAGAAAAUGGUUCAUGAACAUUUCAAAGACAAUGGAAUGAUGUUUUGAAUAGACAGCACUGUGGUUAAAAGAAAAGCUUGAGUGUUUCUUAGUCAGUCAUUUAUUCACCUUACCCAUGAAAAGGUAUGCCAGUGGCAUCACGGUGGGCAGAACACUGUGCCAGUGACUGGAGGAAUAUGGGAACUGUGUGAAAUUGGUCAUGUUCUCCUGUGUGGUGAUAGUUUUUAAAGGAAUGACAGUCAAUUGGGAGAGAACUGUCAACCAUUCCUACUGGGUUUCCUUUCUAGAUGCUAGGAUUUCUGAGGUGAUUUCAUGCCAUUUUAGUUCUCCUGAUGUAAUUAUUAAGCAUCUACUGCUGAUUGUGCACACACAACACACUGGACAACGUGACUCUCCGGCUUUGCUAGGCCUCUCAGUGUUGGAGAAAGGUGUAUACAUAAAUGAUUGAGGGGCAUUUGAGGGGCACAGAACAAGUCCUGCUCCUUGGGGUAGUGGUGGGGUGGGGGAACAAGUGAAUAAUUACAGUUUGCUCUUUGAUGAGGAUACAACUCCUGGGACUCUCUGUGGUAGAACCCAAAUGGACAGAAGUAAUAAUAACAUUGUAGAAGAAAGCAGUUGGAACAGACACUGAUGGGUUUGGAGGUUUUGAUGUCUUUCUUCAAUCCCAUUCCAUUUAGAUUUUUGGGAAGGUGAAGCAGCAUAAUGGGACAAGUGGAGCAUUAUUCUUGUACUUAAGAAAUUUGGUGUUGAAUUCUAAUUGUGCCAGAAUUGCCUUGGGUUUUAUUAGACCUCUUGAAAGCUAAAUUUGCUCGUCUCCAUGAUGCUUUCUGUCUCUUGCAUCAUUUUCAGUAGGUGACAUGUUUCUUACUUUAGCUAAUAGCUGGAGGUCACUCAAAGGAAACAAUUUGACAAAUCAACUUCAGAAUGAAGCACUUUGCAUCCAGUUGAAGAAUACACAGCAAUGUCUUGCAGAUGUAGCACACUGUGGAGCUUUUAAGGUCUCCAUGGUAACUAAGUGUUCAACAUACCUGUGAUUAAACUCCACUGCCAUGGUUUACUUUAUAUACUAAAGAAAUUCUUGGAAGUUUAUAGGGAAAUCUAAUGUCCUAAUUAAGUUAUAUUAUACAGGCACCAGGAAAACUGGUUUCCAAAGGCACUCCAGUCACACCUUUUAUUAAAAAAUAUUUUUAUAAGCAGAUAAUUAAUCCCUAAUUAUCUGUUUAAUUUAAAAUUUUGCCCCUACGGCUGGGCUUCACUCCCAGCAUUUCACUUUGUAUACACAAAUGUGAGGACUCCACUUCAGAAUUGAGGUGAUUUGAAAACUCCCCAGGAAUAUGUAUAAAAUCUUCUUAGUUUGAAAGCCAAAUCAAACUUGUGAAAGGAAAACAUCUUUCUUUUGGAAAGGUGUUUCCUUUUUGUUCUUUUUCAGUGUAUUGGCUGGGUUCUGAGGAGAAAUUUAUCACUCAUGUCAGUGUAUGUGUAUAUUGCAGUUCAGAGUGUUGCUUGCUUACCUUAAUAAAACAAUGAGGCAUAGGUAUAAAUGAAGGAACAUGCAGGUCAGCUGUCAGUGCAUGAGUGGACUGAAUGCUAUGAAAUUGCAUACUUUUCUGUUGGAUGUUUCAUGGGAGAGACUUUGCUUAGAAGUUAGCUGAGUAAUCAUGUGAUCUUGGUAUGAGUGUUAAGCAUUCAGCAUGGCUUUGAGUCUGAACAAAAGAGCAAACAAGCCCUGGUGAGAUGAAGAAGGGAGCAGGAGCCUGGAGAUGCCUGAAGAUGUUGGUGAGAAUCACAACCUGGAGUGCAUGGGGGUGGUCUCCUCACCAACCCUUGGCACAGUGGGUUUCAUCUUCACCUUGAAGGAGAGCAGGCCAGACAAGAUCUCAGCACAGCUUCGCAACUGCGUCCACCCUCUCUUCUCUUCUAAGAGUUCACUUGGAAGGCUUGGCAAAACUCAGCUCUCAGGUCACUUCUGGCUUCCAACAUUCUAUAAAUGCUCUCAGAAAACAAAAGUCCAAGUGUGCAGUAUUAAGACAGGCUGCAUUUACUAACAAGAUAUUUAUGUUGUUUGUAGAGGAUUUCCUAUCCCCAGGACCUGGCCCAGGCUGAGAGAAGCUGUGUGGAGUGGAAGAUGGACAUUGAGGAAGAAGGGCAGGUGUGGUCUCACCCAGAAUGGUUCCUGCUGCUUCCGCGGUGCCCAGGCUUUUCUCACGGCCUCUGCUGGGUUCUCCCCUGGGUGCUGUGGAUGCAUCCUGCCUGCUGGAAAUUCUGUGCUCUCUGUUUCCAUCCCUUUGUCGUGGUAAUGACCGUAUACCUCUCCCCUGUACCCUCCUCUGCCUGCUCUCCGUGCAGGCCCCUCUCCCUCUGGUUGUCCCAUCAGCAUUUCCCCACAGCUCGUUGUUCCUCCUUCCUCUUUUCUGGUGACCUUUCUACUGAUUGCAUUGUACCUCUUUCCCUGAUAUUAAAGAUGUUUUUAAAAACAA
rnacentral:lncRNA from 1 species